AAAUAAAUAGAUAAAGAGUUGCUGUGGUCACAAUAGAAACCCCAACUAAGACAGAAAUUGGUACCAGUGUAGUGGGUAUUGCUGUGACAGACCUCAUCAUGUUUUUAGGAGGAUUGUGGAGGGACUUUGGAACUUUGACCUAGAAAAGCCAGUGAUAUUGAGAGCUCAGUGGGCUGCUCUGUAGGAGCUUGGAAGAUAAGGAUGCUGAGAGCAGUGCAGAAGAUGGAGGCCUGACUUGUGAAUUUUGGAGGGAAGAUUAAAGACUCUAUCAGGGCCACUUGUUAUUUUGAUGUCAGAUCCUGAGUUCUGGUCAGCUGGGGCUGAAGAAUCAGCUGUGAUUAACAAGGUACCAGAACUACUCAAGUGAAACCUUCAUGUUUAUGGAACCAUUGAUGCUGGCCGGCUGGAGCUAAGAAAUCAGCAGUGAUUAAGAAGAGACCAGCAUCACUGAGGUGAAAUCUUCUGGAAGGUGUUUCCUGACAGCACAGAGAAGCUGUGUUCCAGAGGCAGCCAAGGUUGCUCCUCAGGCUGGAAGCUGGUCUUGGUGAUGUGCAAGAGUCACCCAGGUGGUUCUGGUUUUGAGGGCAUGAAGGGGUCCUGGAGAGCAGCUGAGGCUGGGCACUGUGAGAGGCCAUUGGUGAAGGUGUGGUCUCGGUGGCAGUUGAAGGCCCAGGCCUGAAGGGACCAUGCAGAGAAAUUGAGACUUGGCGCCAUGAGGAGAGCCUAUGAGAGGCUACUGGUGAAAGUCUGGUUGCAGGAGAAGACACCAACAUUUUAGAGAUUCCAGGACCAUGGGAUGAGGCCAAGGACAGCAGCAGCAGUGGGGUGGAGCCAGCUGGAGCCUAGAAGUGACUGUGCCCUGAGUCUUCCCUCUUGAAGUAAGAAGAUGUUUUACUGAAGUCCACAGUUGAGAGACUCGAAUUUUUAAAGACUUUGGAUUUUUAACGGGACUGUUAUUUAAAAGGGUCUUAAAUUUUAAUGUGUUGACUUUGUAAAGAUUGUGGCACUUUUAAAGUGAUUUAAGAUCUUGGGGGAUGAAUAAGAAAGGAAGUGAUGUGGCUUAA